rnacentral:rRNA from 1 species
UACGUAGGGGGCUAGCGUUGUCCGGAAUCAUUGGGCGUAAAGCGCACGUAGGCGGCUUACUAAGUCAGGGGUGAAAUCCUGGAGCUCAACUCCAGAACUGCCUUUGAUACUGGUGAGCUUGAGUCCGGAAGAGGUGAGUGGAACUGCGAGUGUAGAGGUGAAAUUCGUAGAUAUUCGCAAGAACACCAGUGGCGAAGGCGGCUCACUGGUCCGGUACUGACGCUGAGGUGCGAAAGCGUGGGGAGCAAACAGG